UUUCCGUAGGUGAACCUGCGGAAGGAUCAUUAAAAGUAAAUAUGUAUUCUCUCGAAUAUACAUUUUUAAACCCCUCUCUGUGUACCUUACCUGUUGCUUCCGCUGGGCAGUGAUCUCGGUCACCUGCGCGUCGACGGCUUAGGCCGCUUCGGCGCGGAGAGUCCUCGCGAAAGGACCUGAACGAAACUCUUGCAUUCCUAUGUCAUCUGUCUGAACCUGUUUAUAACAAAUGUUAAAACUUUCAACAACGGAUCUCUUGGUUCUC
rnacentral:misc_RNA from 1 species